rnacentral:rRNA from 1 species
GAUGAACGCUGACAGAAUGCUUAACACAUGCAAGUCGAUUCGAUUUACCUUCGGGUAUUGAGGAUGGCGGACGGGUGAGUAACGCGUAAGGAACUUGCCUCUUGGACUGGGACAACUGUUGGAAACGACAGCUAAUACCGGAUAUUAUGAUUGGGUCGCAUGAUCUGGUUAUGAAAGCUAUAUGCGCUGUGAGAGAGCUUUGCGUCCCAUUAGUUAGUUGGUGAGGUAACGGCUCACCAAGACGGUGAUGGGUAGCCGGCCUGAGAGGGUGAACGGCCACAAGGGGACUGAGACACGGCCCUUACUCCUACGGGAGGCAGCAGUGGGGAAUAUUGGACAAUGGGCCACAAGCCUGAUCCAGCAAUUCUGUGUGCACGAUGAAGGUCUUCGGAUCGUAAAGUGCUUUCAGUUGGGGAAGAAGAAAGUGACGGUACCAACAGAAGAAGCGACGGGCUAAAAUACGUGCCAGCCGCCGCGGGUAAU